UUACGGCCAUAUCACAUUGAAACAACGCUUCUCGUACGAUUACCGAAGUUAAGCAACGCUGAGCCUGGUCAGUACCUCGGUGGGUGAGCGCUUGGGAAAACCUGGUGAUGUAA